CUUCCACCCUCCAACCCCCUGCUCCGACUGGGGUGGGGGUGGGCCUGGCCCAGUCAGAACGCACAGAAAGUGGUUUCAGACCCAGGAAGCACAUCACCGAGAGCACAAGCCUGGCCAAUGCUCAGUGGCUAUUCAUGCUGAGCGAUCAGCGACGACGGCGCGCGACUGCAGCCGUGGUCACACUGCUGAGCCUGGCGGCCUCCCGAGGUGGGUGUCGGGGGAGCUCGGACCCUGUUGUGUCCGAGUCUGCUUCCUUUCAACUGCUGCUGACAGAGGACGUCCUGUCUCGCUCCCGGUCCUGAGGGUUCCCACUCCCACUCUGCCCUUAGGGAUGGCGUUAGCCGUGGGCUGCUGAGAGACAUGCCUUGUCAGGCUGAGGACGUGAUCGUCCACGUAAAGGCUCAGUUAGCAACGGACGUUAAAUUUGGUCAAAUGCUUUUUCUGUGUCUGUAGCGAUUUUCCUCAUUUUCUGAUUUUCCUGAUUUUCAACCAGAUUUUUGUUGGCUUAACAUGGUGAAUCACACUGAUGGGUUUUUGAGCCAACCCCGCAUUCCCGAGGUUCGCCCCACCCGAUCACGAGGGAUUAUCCUUCUAGUUAGUAGAUUCGGUUUGGCAAAACGUUACCGAAGAUACUCGUUUUCUAUGUCGCUGAAGGACACUGGUUUGCAUUUCAUUUUCUUGCAAUAUUGUCGUGUGGUUUUGGUACCGGGUGAAGCUGACCGUACAGAAAAGCUGAGGCUGCCUGGGCACGUGGCUUACGCAGCCAGGUGCGGCCGGGUGCCGAGGGAAGCAGGUGGGUGCUCCCGUGACCAUCACCCCUCACACCCCUCCAGGCUCUCUUCCCCCCUGCCUCACCGGUGUGGGAAGUGGGUGCUCUCUGGACAGUGCUGGACCUCUGACCCCAGGGGCCAUUCUUGGCCGCAUCGAACAGACUCAACACACAAGGCCACAGUGGACACCCGCGGGUCUGAUGUCGCAUAAGGAGCCACAUUUAUUUCUUAAUUGGACAGAUUCUUAAGUGCACACACACAGUACAGGAGCCUAGAGCCUAACACUCAGGUUUAGGACGUCAGGGAACUCGAGUCGUUACGUCGGGAUGGUGGUUACAGUGCAGGGGCCAGGGUGUGCCACACAACCACAUAUGUACAAGCUACGGGGGGGGACGCGGGGGACGGCCAGCUGCGGGAAGCACCGGCCUGGAAGAAACCAUAGACUCUGUUGAUCCCUGGGGGCACUUCCCUGGUCCCCGGGGUAAAAGGAGGGCGCCUUCCGGGGUCCCGCACCGGAGGGGGCGGACGGAGGACCAGCACUGCGAUCCGCUGACGCCCGAACCACCGGCGACAUUCAGGAACUCUCCCCGAGUGCUUCGCCACGCCCGCCCGGCAGGAGUGAUUACUCGGAACACGGAAGCCUUGGAACUUGGGAACGUGUCAACACCCCUGGGCACCAGCUGGGUCACACUGGAGCCUGGAGCCCAGCGCCCCCCUUCCUGGGACCACAGCGGAUCAGCGGGAGGACUCCCCCUCUCCCUGGAGGAGACAGAGAGCUUCUCUGGGUGAGGACGGCUAUCCCUCAAAGCAAAAC